CUAGGUCCUUCCUGUCUACCCCGUGGCAGCAACCAGAUUUUCUGCAGUUGUUGAUGCAUGCAAAGAGAGGCUGCCUGCAAGAAAGCUGUUUCAUGUCACAUAAGGACAAGGCUUCAUAAGGAAUUGCUAUAAAUCUGCGAUGCUUACUGAGUGUGCAGUGGGAAUAUGCAGCAUGCCAAGAAUGGAUAUUUCAUUUGCUUCAGCUUUUUAUUUUCAUGCCAAGGCGCAAGCUAAGGUAUGUGUCUGUGAUCACCAGGAUUGUAAAUGCAGUGGACCUCUGAGAUGUUCCUUCAGUGAUGCCAUGUGGACAACUCAAGUAUCAAAGGCAGAUGUCCAGGUCAGGGGCUUUCACAGGGAGGAACUCUUUUUCUUGUGGAUUGCCAGAUGUGUUAGAAAGGCUUUCAGAGGUGACUAGAUGCUGAUGACUAUUGCCAUUAUUCAGGGUUUGUAUUCAAACCAUGCAUCUUCAGUCUGUAUAUGGAGCCAGUUGCUGCUAUUACAGCUUCCUAACAGCAGCUCAGUCUGAUACAGUAGUCCACAAAGUGUAAAGUGCCUCUGAGAUGGGACAUCUGAGUAUCAUAUGUGAGUAUAGUAUAUUUCCUUAAGUCUUUUGUAUUCUAAAUUAAAUGCAAUCCAAUAUUUAGUGAAUAAAAGAAAGUUGUGUGUUA